UACAGAGGGUGCAAGCGUUAAUCGGAAUUACUGGGCGUAAAGGGCGCGUAGGCGGGAUGGCAAGUCGGUCGUGAAAUCCUUCGGCUCAACCGAAGAACGUCGGCCGAUACUGCCGUUCUUGAGGGAUGCAGAGGAGAUUGGAAUUCCCGGUGUAGCGGUGAAAUGUGUAGAGAUCGGGAGGAACACCGGUGGCGAAGGCGGGUCUCUGGGCAUCUCCUGACGCUGAGGCGCGAAAGCGUGGGUAGCAAACAGG
rnacentral:rRNA from 1 species